rfam:polyprotein [Coxsackie B4 virus CB4, host=mice, E2, originally derived from Edwards CB4 human strain, Genomic RNA Complete, 7397 nt].
AAGUGGCUAGACGCUUUUUAAAUUAGACACAAUUUGGUUUAAUUCCAAUUGGCUUAACCCUACUGCACUCACCGAAGUAGAUAACGGUGUGGUCGGGGUAAAUUCUCCGCAUUCGGUGCGGA